rnacentral:tRNA from 1 species
AUUUCUAUAGUUGAAUAACAACGUUGAUUUUUCAGAUCAAAGGUUCAAGCAGGUUUGAUGGGAAUA